rnacentral:piRNA from 1 species
CCGCGCGCCGGUUCCCGUUUCAG